GGUGCACGGGCCGCCAUGUUGGGUAAGGGCAGCUGCUUUGGCUGCUUACCCGGAACCCUCUCAAUCUAUUGACUCGACCCGAAUACCGGGUCUUGGCUCCACACCCACUCCUCCCGACGCCCGGACUCGUAGAGCAGCGUUUCUGGCGCCACCCUAUAGCCAGUAGGAUGGGCGGCUGGAGGAAGGAUCAGAAGCGGUUCCUUGUUUUGAACUACCACGUGGAUUGGCGAGCCAAUCAUGGGGAGCGUCCACUUUGAUUCGCUGGCUGCUCAGACCCCGCUUUAUCCUGGGUCGGACGGCAGAACCUCUUAAACGAAAGGCUCUAGGUCUCCCUAGUUGGCUCCCGUCCUGGGCCUCUGAGGACCUCGCGGCAAGGCUGUGAGCAGAGGCGUUGGUCUAGCUUCCAAAUGGAGGCCAUGGGAUCUUGGGAGGUUUUGUUCUCCACUCUUGGAGACACGAGGAUGGGAACUGGAGACAUUACCGCCUGGACUGCCCUAAUGCUAAGUGCAAGGGCUUUGGCCACUCGCCCAGGAAGGCGGAAUAUGGAGAGCGGCCGACUAAGUGCAGAAAAGUAUCUGGAGCUAAAAGGGCUUGGAGCCCGGCGACAAGGGUUUGAGAGGGGCAUUUAUGCUCCCAUUCAGUGAAAUCAGUGGAUCAAUAUCAGUGGAGAAGGGAGAUGUCUGCAUGUGAUGACUGGCUGCCUCCGUGGACUGAGGUUCAGACGUGCCUGGAAACAAACCUAAAGCUGCCCUACCUAAGAAUCACAUUGCAAGCUAGACUUUGACCCUCAUACCUGUGAACCCAGACGGUCCAGAAACAAGCUUACCAGUGAGUCUGGGCUCAGGAACAGGUGUGUGUGUCCUUGGAGCUGGGGCUAUUGGAUUGGCCUACCUACACCCUCAACAGUCUCCACUCUGCCUGAGUGAUCCUGAGGCUAUCAGAAAGCCCUACACUGUUGGUACCUGGGCCCCAACAUACUGUGAACGGAAAUGGGCCUUCUUUCUUUUUCUAUAGGUUAUUUGCUGGCAGUUCUAUUAAACUUGUUUCUAAG
rnacentral:lncRNA from 1 species